UACAUAGGGUGCAAGCGUUGUCCGGAAUUAUUGGGCGUAAAGAGCUCGUAGGUCGUUUGUUACGUCGGAUGUGAAAACCUGAGGCUCAACCUCAGGCCUGCAUUCGAUACGGGCAAACUAGAGUUUGGUAGGGGAGACUGGAAUUCCUGGUGUAGCGGUGGAAUGCGCAGAUAUCAGGAGGAACACCAAUGGCGAAGGCAGGUCUCUGGGCCAAUACUGACACUGAGGAGCGAAAGUCUGGGGAGCGAACAGG
rnacentral:ncRNA from 2 species